UAAACCCCUUUCAGCAGGGAAGAAGCGAAAGUGACGGUACCUGCAGAAGAAGCGCCGGCUAACUAGGUGCCAGCAGCCGCGGUAAUACGUAGGGCGCAAGCGUUGUCCGGAAUUAUUGGGCGUAAAGAGCUCGUAGGCGGUUUGUCGCGUCUGCUGUGAAAACCCGAGGCUCAACCUCGGGCCUGCAGUGGGUACGGGCAGACUAGAGUGCGGUAGGGGAGACUGGAAUUCCUGGUGUAGCGGUGGAAUGCGCAGAUAUCAGGAGGAACACCGAUGGCGAAGGCAGGUCUCUGGGCCGCAACUGACGCUGAGGAGCGAAAGCAUGGGGAGCGAACAGGAUUAGAUACCCUNGGNUAGUC
rnacentral:rRNA from 1 species